AGAGAACUAUGCCAGAAUGUUAUUUCCAGAUUGCUUCCUGUAUUUACAAAGGUCUAUAGGUCCACUGAUACGGCUUUGCUACUCUACCCCGACACCCUGAGGACUAAUCUAUUAAUAACAGGUGAAGACAGAACAAGAAAACAAACCAAGAAUUUCCCCUCACCAGCCACCAGCUCUGCCAGCAACUUGAUCUUAGACUUCCCAGCCUCCGUAACGCUUUGAAUAAACUCCAGUCCCCAAGAGAGAGAAUGAGAAUCACCGGAAUACGAAACUUCCCUGUUGGACUUCCCAACAUUCUUGAAUGCACCAAGAUAGCCUCUUGCUGUGAGAUUAAUAAAUGAAUAAAUGCCUCCAUAUUUUUCAAA
ensembl:lncRNA novel transcript